rnacentral:rRNA from 1 species
GACGAACGCUGGCGGCGUGCUUAACACAUGCAAGUCGAGCGGUAAGGCCCUUUCGGGGGUACACGAGCGGCGAACGGGUGAGUAACACGUGGGUGACCUGCCCUCAGCUCUGGGAUAAGCCUGGGAAACCGGGUCUAAUACUGGAUAUGACUCCAUGACGCAUGUUGUGGGGUGGAAAGCCUUGUGCGGCUGAGGAUGGGCCCGCGGCCUAUCAGCUUGUUGGUGGGGUGAGGCCUACCAAGGCGACGACGGGUAGCCGGCCUGAGAGGGCGACCGGCCACACUGGGACUGAGACACGGCCCAGACUCCGUACGGGGGGCGAGCGA